rnacentral:rRNA from 1 species
AUUGAACGCUGGCGGCAGGCCUAACACAUGCAAGUCGAGCGCGAAAGGUUCUUCGGGACUGAGUAGAGCGGCGGACGGGUGAGUAACGCGUAGGAAUCUACCCAGUGGUGGGGGACAACUUGGGGAAACUCAAGCUAAUACCGCAUACGCCCUACGGGGGAAAGCGGGGGACCUUCGGGCCUCGCGCCAUUGGAUGAGCCUGCGUUGGAUUAGCUAGUUGGUGGGGUAAAGGCCCCCCAAGGCGACGAUCCAUAGCUGGUCUGAGAGGAUGAUCAGCCACACUGGGACUGAGACACGGCCCAGACUCCUACGGGAGGCAGCAGUGAGGAAUUUUCCGCAAUGGGCGCAAGCCUGACGGAGCAAUACCGCGUGAAGGAUUAAGGCCUAUGGGUUGUAAACUUCUUUUCUCAGAGAAGAAUUUUGACGGUAUCUGAGGAAUAAGCAUCGGCUAACUCUGUG